UAGGGAAUCUUCCACAAUGGACGAAUGUCUGAUGGAGCAACGCCGCGUGAGUGAAAGAAGGGUUUCGGCUCGUAAAACUCUGUUGUUAAAGAAGAACAUAUCUGAGAGUAACUGUUCAGGUAUUGACGGUAUUUAACCAGAAAGCCACGGCUAACUACGUGCCAG
rnacentral:rRNA from 1 species